rnacentral:rRNA from 1 species
GUCUACAGCCAUGCCACCCUGAACAAACCUGAUCCCUCUGAUCUCGGAAGCUAAGCAGAGUCAGGCCUGGUUAGUACUUGGAUGGGAGACCACCUAGGAAGACCAAGUGCUGUAGGUG